GCCGAGGUGGCUCAGUGGUAGAGCACCUCCUUGGUAAGGAGGUGGUCGCGGGUUCAAUUCCCGCCCUCGGCU
rfam:Candidatus Endomicrobium sp. Rsa215, complete genome.